rnacentral:rRNA from 1 species
AGCGAACGCUGGCGGCAGGCCUAACACAUGCAAGUCGAACGGCUCUUCGGAGCAGUGGCGGACGGGUGAGUAACGCGUGGGAACGUGCCCUUUGGUACGGAACAACUGAGGGAAACUUCAGCUAAUACCGUAUGUGCCCCUCUUCUUAGCGGAAGGGUGGGAAAGAUUUAUCGCCGAUGGAGGGGCCCGCGUCAGAUUAGGUAGUUGGUGGGGUAAUGGCCUACCAAGCCUACGAUCUGUAGCUGGUCUGAGAGGAUGAUCAGCCACACUGGGACUGAGAUACGGCCCAGACUCCUACGGGAGGCAGCAGUGGGGAAUCUUGGUCAAUGGGCGCAAGCCUGAACCAGCGAUGCCGCGUGAGUGAUGAAGG